ACCUUGUUGAGCUCGGUGUACACCUGGUGGAUCUCCUCGGGCUUGGAGUAGAGGUCCUCCUGGGCGACGUCGGUGUUGUCGACGCCAUCCUCCUCGCCGCCGGUGAUGCCGAUCUCAACCUCGAGGAAGCAGUUGAUCUUCGCCAUGCGCUCGAGGUACUUCUUGGAGAUCUCCAUGUUCUCCUCGAUGGACUCCUCGGAGAGGUCGAGCAUGUGGGAGGUGAAGAGGGGCUCGCCGUGCUUGGCGAAGUACUCCUCGUUGGCCUCGAGGAGGCCGUCGAACCAGGGGAGGAGGCUCUUGGCACAGUGGUCGGUGUGGAGGAUGAUGGGGACGCCGUAGAACUCAGCGAGGGCGCGGACGUGGAGGGCACCGGCGACGCAGCCCAUGAUGGCCGCCUUCUGGUCCUUCUCGUUCUUCCAGCCCUUGCCGGCGUUGUAG
rnacentral:lncRNA from 1 species